rnacentral:rRNA from 1 species
AACGAACGCUGGCGGCAUGCCUAACACAUGCGAGUCGAACGAGACCUUCGGGUCUAGUGGCGCACGGGUGCGUAACGCGUGGGAACCUGCCCUUAGGUUCGGAAUAACUCCCCGAAAGGGGUGCUAAUACCGGAUAAUGUCUUCGGACCAAAGAUUUAUCGCCUUUGGAUGGGCCCGCGUUGGAUUAGCUAGUUGGUAGGGUAAAAGCCUACCAAGGCGACGAUCCAUAGCUGGUCUGAGAGGAUGAUCAGCCACACUGGGACUGAGACACGGCCCAGACUCCUACGGGAGGCAGCAGUGGGGAAUAUUGGACAAUGGGCGAAAGCCUGAUCCAGCAAUGCCGCGUGAGUGAUGAAGGCCUUAGGGUUGUAAAGCUCUUUUACCCGGGAUGAUAAUGACAGUACCGGGACAAUAAGCUCCGGCUAACUCCGUG